rnacentral:rRNA from 1 species
UACGUAGGCAGCGAGCGUUGUUCGGGAUUACUGGGCGUAAAGAGUGUGUAGGCGGUGCUCUAAGUUCGGUGUGAAAUCUCCUGGUUCAACUGGGAGGGUGCGCCGGAAACUGGAGUGCUUGAGCGUGGGAGAGGAAAGCGGAAUUCCUGGUGUAGCGGUGAAAUGCGUAGAUAUCAGGAGGAACACCUGUGGUGUAGACGGCUUUCUGGACCAUAGCUGACGCUGAGACACGAAAGCGUGGGUAGCAAACAGG